AUUGUUGCUUUUUUACUCAUCUUCUUAUUCAGUUCCAAAAACUGACCGUUUCAUUUGAAGUUGUAGAAUGUUAUUAUUUAAAUAUAUUUAGUUCCUGAUCUUGGUCAGUCCCUCCUCUACCAGUGUCUGGUAUUUAGCCGGUCCAGCCCAGGUAUGUCUGGGCCAUGUCCCAGCCCAGGUAUGUCUGGGCCAUGUCCCAGCCAGGUAUGUCUGGCCUGUCCCAGCCCGGUAUGUCGGGGCCAUGUCCCAGCCCAGUAUGUCUGGGCCAUGUCCCAGCCCAGGUAUGUCUGGGCCAUGUCCCAAGCCCAGGUAUGUCUGGGCCAUUUUGUGCCAGCCCAGGUAUGUCUGGGCCAUGUCCCAGCCCAGGUAUGUCUGGGCCAUGUCCCAGCCCAGUAUGUCUGGGCCAUGUCCCAGCCCAGGUAUGUCUGGGCCAUGUCCCAGCCCAGGUAUGUCUGGGCCAUGUCCCAGCCCAGGUAUGUCUGGGCCAUGUCCCAGCCCAGGUUGAUCUUGAAAUAUCAAAUCUCUCUUUCUUUAAAAUAAUAAAUUGCACUGUAGAAGGUGAAUUGAAAGCAUCAAAGCAUGAUUAUGAUAUGAUUUUUUUUUAAUGUUACUUAUUUUUUUCUGGUGGCGUUUAAGUCCGUCAAGGGGCGGACUACUCGCCAGACCUGGAUUCAAUCAUUUCAGAUACUUUAAGCCGGGCUUGAUUGAGCUUGCCUGGCAAAAUGAAACAAAAAUAGAAUAGUCCACCAAACUGCAAAUCCUCCUGCCCGUGAUCUGGAACAACAGGCACACUGAAGUCAACACUCAAAGAUUUAAAAGAUUUUGAGAAACGUACAGGGAGCAUUCUACCGUCCU
rnacentral:lncRNA from 1 species